rnacentral:tRNA from 1 species
GAGCCGGCGGCGGAGCAGGUGAACGCGCUGCGGAAAUCGGUGCCGGGCGGCAUGGGCCACGGCUGCGAGUUCGAGACGUCGUUCCAGCUCGCCA